GUGAAUCAUCGAAUUUUUGAACGCAAAUUGCACUCUCUGGUAUUCCGGGGAGUAUGCCUGUUUGAGGGUCAGUUUAAAUUAAAAAUCGAGGUGUUGCUUUUUUUUGUUGCGCGUCGGAAGUGGUGGAUCUUUGUCCCUUGGAUUUUUUAAGAGACCUAAAAUUGAUACUUUUUGCAUCGCAGACGAACGUAAGGAAUAUUUUUUUUUUUUUAUGCGUCCGGAGUUAGCGGAUGUUUAUUAGGUAUGAACUUGUUUUUUUUUGGUAUCUUACCUGAACUAUACUAU
rnacentral:misc_RNA from 1 species